UGUUACUAAAAAUUGAGUGCUGUUACCUACAGCACGGCGUGAAGGAAAACUCAUCCUGUGAAAAGUUGGUUACAGACAUUUGCCAGCUAGCUAGGAGCUUCUUUUCUGGUCAGAUGAAGUCCCCUUGGAAGUGUGCUCAGUGAUGUAUCUUUGGACUUGCUCUCUUUGAAUUAAUGAACGUUAACAGAGUUUCACGUCAAUUUUUUUUUUGAGUUGAUUGUAUUCAUCUCUUUGAAAUAGUUGCAUCAAUUAGUUUACUGUUAUUGAUUUGUACUUCAUGAAGCACAAAUGCACAAAGUUAAGCUGUUCGACUUGUGCCACCCAACACAUCUGGGUGGGAAAUUCAUAAACUUAGUCUUUGAGCAGAUGCCAUAGGCACUUCCGUACUUAGACCCUGAAUCGAUUGCUUUAGUCAUCUUUGAGUUGCUAGCUUACUCUCUCAUACCUAUCUUAGCCAUCCCUUACUAUUUUUGAGGCUCAGAACAACGGUGUAUAUCUUAAACGAUCGCAUAUGAAGUGACCCAUAAAAAUAGCAUAUCUACAGGCUACAUGAACAGCGGGGAAGGGGAAACUAGGAAGUGAUUGUAAACAAGUUUUUUAUAUUAAGUAGCGGACAACAGCUAUAUAUAUUAGUUUGUAAUGCAUAGUAGUUUCCGCCUUCCGGGAAUCAUGGUUGCUGCUUCUGUGUGUAGAUAUAAUCAAGGUGAGCAGCAAGAGACCUCCUGAACAGGCAUUCAUCUUUCUCUAGACCCUCGCAAUUGAUUUCAUCAUUGAUCUCAGCUUCAGUCAUGUCCUGUCAUGCAACCGAAAACAGAAAUCAAUCAAGAGAAUAUAGGCUAUUAAGCACAUAGAAUUACCUAUGAGUGAAACAUUUAUGGGAUGGAGAGAGACAGAGACCGUGUAUCCACUACGUUGGUUUUGCGGUGGUACUUGGUCGCAACGCGCAAGUCGAGAAACAGUAAAGCUUAGCAUGAAGGUGAGGAGGAUCAAGGUGAAGAAAGAAGUGACCACUUUGGACAUAAUGCUUUUUGUGCAGGUAACUAGUGUUGAAUUUGUUUGAUGAGAUUACAGAAUAUUGUGAUAUAUAUAUAACUGAAGGCUAGUAUUGUUGUUGUAUAUGAGUUGAUUCGACGUGAAGAUAAAGAAGCAUAAUGCAUUGAAUGAUCCAGAUGAAGGAAGAAAUUCUUUGAUGAGGGUAAGAAAAAUCUCAAAUAAAGCCAAAGAAUUCUAUGGAGGAGACUAAACUGCUUUGUGAAGUCGACCAGAGAUUAUCAGGAUUUGUUGCUCACUUUUCCACGUAGAAAAAUUGGCCCUGAUUGGGAGUACAAUUACUUUGGCAGAUUUUAGGUAAUGCGUACAUUGUGCUUAGAGGUGAUCAUUUUGGCUCGGCCCGUGGGCCCGGCCCGGCCCGGCCCGUUUUCGGGCUGGGUUUUGGGCAAAUUUUUUCGGUCCGCGGGCUGGGCCCGGCCCACCCAUAUUUUUUUUGCUUUCGGCGGGCUUUGGGCAAGCCAAAAACGACUUUUUAGUCUAUUUUUUGGCUCGCAAAAGCCCGCUAAUUUAGGCCCGAAAUAGCGGCCUUUGGACACAAAAAUUCGGCCCGCAAUUUAGGCCCGGCCGGACCAAUGGGCAAAUUUUUUUUAGCCGCGGCCCGGCCCGAACCCGGCCCGGCCCACAAUCACCUCUAAUUGUGCUCUAAAGAACAUAGUGAGAACUCUGUUUUCAGAAUACCAAAUAGAAUAUUUACGAAAACGAACAUUGUACUGCUGAACUGUAACAUUACAAAAAUUCACUUACAAAAACGAAUAUUUUACUGUUAAAAUGGAAUAUUACAAGAAUUCAUUUAUGAAAAAGAACAUUUUAAUAUUGAAGUGGAAUAUUACCAGGAUCCAAUUAUGAAAAUGAACAUUUUAUUGUUGAAGUGGAACAUUACUAUAAUUCAAUUACUUAAAUAGAACAUAUGCUUAUCAAAUAUAGAACAUAUUUUCAGAAAAAUUAGAACAUAUUUUUUGGUGGAAAAUAAGUUUUAAAAGAACAUUUUUUAAAAUAGAACAUUUGCUUAUCGAAAAUAGAAUAAUUUUCACGAAAAAUAGAAAAUAAUUUUCUAGCUGAAAAGAAGCUUAAAACGAACAUUUGUUGAAAUAGAAGAUUUGCUUAUUGAAAAUAGAACAAAUUUUACGAAAAAUAGAACAUAUUUUUUUGCUGAAAAAUAUGCUUAAAAUAAACAUAUGUUGAAAUAGAACAUUUAUUCAUCAAAAAUGGAACAAAUUUACUGGGUGCAUUGUGUGUAUUGUGUUUCUGGGAGCACAAUAGAGUUUUUAGAUUCUAGGAAUUUUUUUUUUUAUGUUUUUAAAGUUGCAUUUGGUAGGGUGUAAAAUGUUUUACAUGAUAAUGAGUUUUUCUUUUUCUCUCAUCUAUCUUUUUUGGUUUGGCAAGGGAUGUAAACAAAUUUUUCAUUAAGGGAAAAGAGCUCUUGUAUAAGUGAAAAUUAUUUUCCUUUCAAAAAGAAAGGAAAACAUAUUUUCCUCCCUCCUCCUUAGCAACCUUUUAUACUCCUCUUAUUCAUCAUUUUCCUUUCCCUUCGAUUUUUCUUUUUUUCAAUAACUUUUUUUUGACAUUGAAUCAAACAAAUGAAAAUUAGGGGAAUUUUUAUAAUACAUCCGGGUGUAUUAUGAUCAUGGUACACUUUAAGUAAGUUCCAAAUUAGCAUAAUCACAUAAUAAGGGAAACCUCCAAAUGAGCAUAAUCACAUAAUAAGUAAGUUCCAAAUUAGCAAAUGAGAAAAAAAUAACUUUAAGUGUGCCAUUCACAUGGUAUAUCCAGGUGUAUGAUGAAUGCUCCCGAAAAUUAGCUUUGCAAUUGGAUUACCAUUGUAAAAUGUUUUACAUGAAAAAUCAUUUUAUAUUGAAAAUGUUUAACAUCUUCCAUAAAAAAUAAGGAAGAAAAUAUUUAACAUCUAACCAAACGGAGCCUAAGUAUGACCCUAUAUUGUUUCAUGAUGAGUCUGGUUACUCUCCAAACUGUUCGGUACCGAACAAGGGGGAGAAAAGCCUAUUUUUCCCUUAAAAUAUACCAUGGUCAAUAAUUCUCUAGUUAGCCUUUUAUUUUUUCCAAUUUUUUAAGGGAAAAGCAAUGUAUAUUGGAAAACUAUAUUAAUACAUCCAAAAUUAUUUUAUUAUUCAUUUUAAAAUUGUGUUUACAUAAAUUUAAAAAAUAUAUUUGUACAUUUAAAAACUAUGUUUUUACAUCCAAAAAACUAUUUUGCACGUGUAAAAAUUAUGUUUAUACAUCUAGAACUAUGUUUUUACAUCUAAAAAGUAUUUUUGCACGUGUAAAGAUUAUGUUUGUACAUAGUUUGCACACUCAUAAUCUAUUUUAGACCUGGCAAUCGGACCAAUCGGAUCGGAUUCGGACCGGAACAAUUCAGAUCGGACCGUUUUCGGAUCAAGUUACAUUCGGACUGGGAUCGGACCGGAUCGGACCGUUUCGAAUUGGGUCAUCGUUCGUACUAUUAUUUCGGAUCGGAAUGGGACCGGACCAAUUCAGAUCGGACCGUUCCGGAUUGGGUCAUCGUUCGGACUAUUAUUUCGGAUCGGAAUCGGACUAUGGUGGAAUGAAUGGAAUACUUAUGGCAAUGAUAUUUUUUUUAUAAAAAAACGGGUAAGUUUCGGAUCAAAGCCUAAUCGAAACCAAUAAUUUCGGAUCGGUUUACCUUCGGGUCGGGUCGGUUUUGGAUCGGGUAAGAUUAUAUCAGAUCAUUCGGAUUUCGGAUGAGUUUCGGAUCAAGAUUAUUUCGAAUCGGGAUCGGGACCGUUUCGGAUUCGGAUCAAGGUUCGGACCGUCUCGUUCGGACCCAGAUCGGACCACGGAUCGGAUAUUUCGGACCGGAUUUUCGGAUUAGGACCAACUUUGCCAGGUCUAAUCUAUUUGUUCUUUUUAUAUCCCGAUACUAUGUUUACACAUCUAUAAUUUAUUUUGUAUCCAUUACAUUCAUAAAUUCUUUUGUACAUUCAAAACUAUGUUUACACAUCUAUAAUUCUGUUAUUGAACAUUCAAAAAUUAUUUUUUUAUAUGUCCAGAAUAGAACAAAAACUAGCCGUGGUAUAUUUUGAGGGUAAAAAAGACUAUUAUUCUCUUUGUUGUGACACCAAACAAUAUGGAGAAUAGCCUUUUUCUUUCAUAAUAGUUAAAUUUAUGUCUGAUUGGAGCAAUUGGACUGAACAAACAAAAUCUGUGUAAAUUGAUGAAAACUUGUAUAAUUGAAGAAACCACAGUCAAUGGUCUAAUUUGGGAUGUAACAUCAAUCAUCCAUUAACAAUGCCAAAGAUCAGGAAAAAUUGCAUAUUAAUCCAGCAUGGAGCCAAGAAUUUGGUCUCGAUAAGACAUGUCAAAUAAGUCGAAAACAGGUCUAUGUUGCAUAAAUUUAUUAUGCAGAAUUUACACGUUAGGUGAUUAUUGUUUGUGGUUGAAAAAUGCAUGAUCGUGACACAUAUCAUUUGAUUUGGAGUGGACCAAACAUAUUUACAAUUUCUUUUCUAGUGGUUUUAGGAUGGAAUUUCCUCAACCUCAAUUAAUACAAAAUUGAAUUAAAUCUUUUUCUUUGUAAUAAAAGUAUUUUCAUUCAUUAGUUCACACUAAUUAAUCAUCUAGAGCAUAAUAUUCCGUUUGGGUUUUCGGAGGUAAGAAUUACGAUAUAUGAGGUUAAGAAUUCCGUGUUUCAUUAAACCCUACUUUUAGUCUAUUUUCUUCAGGUUGAUGAGAAGAGUAGUAUAUAAAUCUGCCUUAUUGUUCUGUGUUUUGUACUCUCUUCUCUCAAAAAAUAAUAAAACCAGUUUCACCUUUGUUCAUGGAUGUAGCUAACUUUGUGUUAGUGAAUCACGUAAAUCUUUAUGUUAAUCAUCCCCAUUUUUCUUUAUGUGUCGAUUGAUUAUGUCAUAAUCAUACACAAUUGUUGAACUCUAGUUUUGAUGAUGACAAAGAAACAAAGAUGCAAACUAAGUAGAAAACUAAUGAGUUUCUAUGAGUGUA